AGAAUCAACGCUGGCGGCGUGCCUCAGACAUGCAAGUCGAACGAUUAAACUUUCCUUCGGGAAAGAUAUAAAGUGGCGCACGGGUGAGUAACACGUAGGUAAUGUACCUUUGGGUGGGGAAUAACUUAGGGAAACUUAAGCUAAUACCGCAUAAUGCAGCGGCUCCUUAUGGGAGACAGUUGUUAAAGAUUUAUCGCCUAAAGAGCAGCCUGCGGCAGAUUAGCUAGUUGGUAAGGUAUGGCUUACCAAGGCUACGAUCUGUA
rnacentral:rRNA from 1 species